rnacentral:lncRNA from 1 species
CUGGCUACCAUGUUAGGAGGACACUCAAGCCGCCCUAUGGAGAGGUCCAUGUGGUGAGAAGUUAAGGCUUCCUGCCAACAAUCAGUGUGGAACUGAGUCCUCUAGCCAACAGCCAUAAGGAACCUCACUAGCUCUUCUGACUGCAAACACCAUUAGGAGUGAAUGUGGCAACAGCGGUGCCCCAUGCUGGUGAGGGAGUGGUGGAAAUGGCGGUCUUAUACAUUGCUGGCAGGAGAGCAAAUUGAUGCAAAAUGGAGACUUUUGUCAAAACAACAAGCUCACUGGAUGCGGUGUGGAGAACCGAUUAGACGAAUUUCAGGGUUACCUCCUGUGGGUCUGGAACUGGCCUGAGAUGAGCUGCUGAAGGGACAGAUGUACCUGCACAGAACUGGCCUCUCGUCAAGACUUAAAAGUCUGAAGUGUUACUUUGUAACCAGGAGUCCAAGAUUGUUACAAGAAUGGCUCCCACUCAAUCGGCUUUCCAGUCUCCAGCCUGGGUGCAGAGCCCUCCCACACUGAUGGCCAUGUGACUUGCUUUGACCAAUGGCACAUGAGGAAACAUGUUACAAGCAGAGAAUUAAAAAAUGCUUGGACGUGAGGCUUGCCCUCUCUUGCUCCCUGAGAAUGCCGUAUGAGGAAGCCUGAGCUAGCCCACUGGAGGCGAAGGAGCAGAGAGUCGUAGCCCAGCUGAGGCCUCCUA